rnacentral:rRNA from 1 species
AAGACCUUGUGCUUUUGGAGCGGCCGAUGCCUGAUUAGCUAGUUGGUAGGGUAAAGGCCUACCAAGGCUACGAUCAGUAGUUGGUCUGAGAGGACGACCAGCCACACUGGGACUGAGACACGGCCCAGACUCCUACGGGAGGCAGCAGUGGGGAAUUUUGGACAAUGGGCGAAAGCCUGAUCCAGCAAUGCCGCGUGAGUGAAGAAGGCCUUCGGGUUGUAAAGCUCUUUCAGCCGAGAAGAAGAAGUUGUGACUAAUAAUCACAAUUUAUGACGGUACCGACAGAAGAAGCACCGGCUAACUACGUGCCAGCAGCCGCGGUAAUACGUAGGGUGCAAGCGUUAAUCGGAAUUACUGGGCGUAAAGGGUGCGCAGGCGGCUCUGUAAGUCAGAUGUGAAAUCCCCGGGCUUAACCUGGGAAUU